UUAUUUUUUCUUUGGAUCAUGAAAUUUUUGUUUUAGUAGGAUGGUUUUUAAAUUUUUAUUCUCAUAAAAAAAUUAAAAACUUGGAUAUGCUUGGAUAAGCAAAAAGCUAUUGAUGGAAAAAAUAAAUUACAAAGUAAAUUUAUAGCUGAUACGGUUUUCAAAAAGCGAUGUAUGGAAGGAAAUAAAUACGUUGGUAUUGGAUGGUAUUGUUGAUUAAUAAUAAUGCAGAAGUUUGUUUUUCAUGCUCAAAGUAUGGAAGGACACAAAUACGUUCUGCAAGGUCGUUAUAGGCUCUGGCCCAUAAAAAGACCUCCAAAAACAAAAUUAGUCCCGUGCCACAAGAAGUCUUAAUCCGCUACUGAUUUGUAUGUAUGAAGAUCAUCACAAAUAUUGAGGAGAAAGGCUUGAUUUCGAAACAACUUAUUUAAAAGAAUUAAUAGUUUAAAAAUAGUGUCAUUUUUGUGUUCAUGUACAAUGUCAUUCAUGUUGUAUUUUGUAAUUGAAACAGCAAUAAUGCUAUUACUACCAUAAUUUGUUCCAUAUAAAAUUAUUCAACAAACUCUGUAAGCAUAUUUUAUUUCAAUAUUUCAACACCAGUUAACAAACUACAACCAUCAAUCUCACUGCAUAAAGUUUUUAAAUACUUAUUACUCAAUCUUGAUAAAGCCCCACAUUUUUUAUCGGAGGCAAAAAAUGGAUGAUAAUUCUUUUCUGCAAAUGAGUUAACAAAUUUAGGCAAUC